rnacentral:rRNA from 1 species
GAUGAACGCUGGCGGCGUGCCUAAUACAUGCAAGUCGAGCGAACAGAUGAGGAGCUUGCUCCUCUGACGUUAGCGGCGGACGGGUGAGUAACACGUGGAUAACCUACCUACAAGACUGGGAUAACUUCGGGAAACCGGAGCUAAUACCGGAUAUUAUAUUGAACCGCAUGGUUCAAUAGUGAAAGACGGUUUUGCUGUCACUUAUAGAUGGAUCCGCGCCGCAUUAGCUAGUUGGUAAGGUAACGGCUUACCAAGGCAACGAUGCGUAGCCGACCUGAGAGGGUGAUCGGCCACACUGGAACUGAGACACGGUCCAGACUCCUACGGGAGGCAGCAGUAGGGAAUCUUCCGCAAUGGGCGAAAGCCUGACGGAGCAACGCCGCGUGAGUGAUGAAGGUCUUCGGAUCGUAAAACUCUGUUAUUAGGGAAGAACAAAUGUGUAAGUAACUAUGCACGUCUUGACGGUACCUAAUCAGAAAGCCACGGCUAACUACGUG